CCACAGAUGCGUAGCUAACUCAUACGGUCAUUCUAGUUUUAAUGUAUAAAAAAACUCCCACGUGUUGUUUUCACGCGAAACACACCCAUUCGUCGUAUAUGCUACGGUUUAAUUAAAGGGCCAAAUAUAAACGUGAGUCAGUGUUUGAUUCGCUAGCCCUGUUAGCUUAGCUACUUCCUUCGUAAAUAUAUAAUAGCGGUGGUGUGAGGAACCUCUGGCACUUUCAUUAGAUAACCAUACACCUAGUGUGUUAAGCUUGGGCUUUCCAGAAAACAUUAGGGAAAUACUAUAAACGCAGAAGACAAGCUAACACAUCUACGACCGUAUUCAUUAAUCAGCACGGUGUAAUAUUAAAGGGCUGUUGUUACCUGAAGGUUUUCGGCGUUUAAAUCGACCCUGGCGCCUGAACAAGUCGCCAUGUUGUGACGAAACACCGAGCAGGGAAAUAAAAUCCCUGGAGCUUUACUGCAACAGCCUAGUGGUGAAGGUGCUGGACCACCAAGGUUGUGAGUUCGAUUUCCACAAGCAUCAGGAUGCCACUGCUGUGCCCCUGAGCAAGGCCCUUGAACCCUCAAUUGUUCAGUUGUAAAAAAUACAGUGGGAGGAAACUGGAGAACCUAGAUGAAACCUGAGCUCAGGAUUAAAUCCAGUAGACCUGGAACUCUGAAGCAGCAAAGCUACAUGAGGUACCACCAUGUC